AACUCUCCCUAAUAAUACCCUUGACGAUGGCACUGUUUCUUCCACAUCCACCGACCCUCAACCCACCCAUCCCAUGAUCACCCGCUCCAAAAACUUAAUCACCAAACCCAAAACCUUCACCGACAGUACUGUGCGAUAUCCUGUUCCGAGUGCACUCCUCGCUGAUGGUAAUGCGUCCAUCGUUGAACCCACUUGUUUCACCACUACUUUGAAAGACUCCAAUGUCAUUGGAUGCAAAUGGGUAUGGGAUCUUGUUCCUCCUCACACUGCUCGCAAUGUCAUUGGAUGCAAAUGGGUAUUUCUGGUUAAGCGUAAUGCCGAUGGUUCCGUUGAACGCUAUAAAGCUCGCUUGGUGGCCAAAGGAUUUCAUCAGUUGCCUGGAAUUGACUUCAGAGAAACCUUCAGUCCUGUAAUCAAACCCACCACUGUCAGGACAGUUCUCUCUAUUGCUGUUUCAAGAGGCUGGGUCCUUCGCCAAUUUGAUGUUCAGAAUGCCUUCUUACAUGGCCAUCUAUUUGAAGAUGUUAUAUGUCUCAGCCUCAUGGAUUUGUUCACCCCUAAUUUCCUAACCAUGUUUGCAAGUUGAAGAAAGCUCUUUAUGGGUUGAAGCAGUCCCCUCGGGCUUGGUUCUCACAGCUCUCUUCUCACUUACUUGCUCUGGGCUUCAGAGGAUCGAGGCCACAGGAAGUAGUCAUAUUCAUUGUUGGAGGGACGACAUAUGAAGAGUCACGUUCUGUUGCUUUACAAAAUGCCAGCAAUUCUGGAAUUCGUUUUAUACUUGGUGGUUCUGUGGUUCUGAAUUCUAAGGGGUUUCUGAAAGACUUGGAAGAAGCUCAAAGGAAAGCUCAUUCUAGCACAGUAGUGAUUUGAAGCCCCAUCAUAUGUGUCUUGAGAGCCAAUAGAUAAUUUUUAUGGCUUUAUACGGAGCUUUUGACUUGGUGACUGGCAGUGGUAAGAUUGUUAAUGAAUAUUGGGAAGAGGAACUUGAUGAUCAUCAGAAUCAAUACAAUAUUCACCAAUUUGCAAAGGAAUAAAAAGUAAAUAGGUUUUUUGGAGACUAAACCCAUUACAUAUUGGAAUAUGAGAUAUUACUUAUACGCGGGAAACAAUUUGCAGAUAGCCUUAUUGCUUGUUUAACAACACUACCUUGCCUUGUGAACGAAAAUGUAAAAUCACAUACAAUUUUUUUUCUUUCUUUUUUGGAUUGUAUAGAUGCUUGAUUUAUCCUAGGUAGUUUUGUACUUGGACCAUAUUGUGAAAAGUUAUGGCUGAGCAUAUGGUUGAGCCAGGGCCAGGGGUUUAGUUUAUACUUUAGCAAUCAAUGUUCUGGUGAAAUGGGAAGUUUAUGAAUAUUUGUGUGUGCAUAAUUGGUAUUGAAACUUUUGCUAUUACAUAUAUUUUGAUCA